AACUUUCUGUAUCCGUGCUGAGAUUUCAUCAGCGAUCAACCCAUUAGGGCUGGUUGAUGCAACUUCCCAAAUACGUGAAGUA
rnacentral:pre_miRNA from 1 species